rnacentral:rRNA from 1 species
CGAACGCUGGCGGCAUGCCUAACACAUGCAAGUCGAACGAAGGCUUCGGCCUUAGUGGCGCACGGGUGAGUAACACGUGGGAACCUGCCUUUCGGUUCGGAAUAACGUUUGGAAACGAACGCUAACACCGGAUACGCCCUAUGGGGGAAAGUUUACGCCGAGAGAGGGGCCCGCGUCGGAUUAGGUAGUUGGUGAGGUAAAGGCUCACCAAGCCUUCGAUCCGUAGCUGGUCUGAGAGGAUGAUCAGCCACACUGGGACUGAGACACGGCCCAGACUCCUACGGGAGGCAGCAGUGGGGAAUAUUGGACAAUGGGCGCAAGCCUGAUCCAGCAAUGCCGCGUGAGUGAUGAAGGCCUUAGGGUUGUAAAGCUCUUUCGCACGCGACGAUGAUGACGGUAGCGUGAGAAGAAGCCCCGGCUAACUUCGUGCCAGCAGCCGCGGUAAUACGAAGGGGGCUAGCGUUGUUCGGAAUUACUGGGCGUAAAGGGCGCGUAGGCGGCCUGUUUAGUCAGAAGUGAAAGCCCCGGGCUCAACCUGGGAAUAGCUUUUGAUACUGGCAGGCUUGAGUUCCGGAGAGGAUGGUGGAAUUCCCAGUGUAGAGGUGAAAUUCGUAGAUAUUGGGAAGAACACCGGUGGCGAAGGCGGCCAUCUGGACGGACACUGACGCUGAGGCGC